UUGACCUCUAAUAUAUUAAAUAGUAGCCUGAUGCAGUGGCUCACUCCUGUAAUCCCAGCACUUUGGGAGGCUGAGGCGGACAGAUCACUUGAGUGGACUGAAAUCGGCGUGUCCCAAGGUUCCCAUGUCAGCUGGCUUCCUGCUGAGUGCAGGCCCUGGGAGGUUCUGGCAAGAGAUUGGUGAAUAGAAGAAAGGGAGAAGCCCAGGUUUACAUGACUUCUAGAUGAAGGAGGUAUUAGCUAAAAGGAACACUAACAACCAGAAAGUAUCAGAAACCAGAGAAGAGCAAGCACAAGAAUGAACAAGGGGUAUUUAGUCUGGAGGAAAGAAGAUGUAGGAAGAACAUGAUGACUGAUGUCAAGGGCAAGAAGGACCACUAAAUGGAAGACAAAUCAGGCCUCAUUGUGGGCCUCUAGAAAGCAAAAACAAAAGCCAAUGAGUAUAAUUAUACAGACUUAGGAGAAAGCUCAGUAUAGGGAAGAACUGUGUAGCUACUUUCACUGUCUGAAGUGGAGUGGGCCGCUUGCAGACAAAGUGAUUCCCCCAUCACUUCAAGUGUGCAAGCAGAAGCUGGUCAUUCACUCUUUGGAAAAUGUUGUAAAAGAGAUUCAUGCAUUAUUACAUGUGUGUUUGACUCUAGACUCUUCUGAUUUUGAGAUCCUAUGAUCUGGGAUGGUGUUGGUGCAAAUGGGAAGAAAUAGGUUGGAAACCCAAAGAUGGUGAUGCUAUAGCUAGCAGAGUGGAAGGAAUCGGAAGCAGGCAGCAGGAAGAAACUUAGAUCACCCAAUUAAGAAAAGAUAGUCAUGCAACCGUCUUAGCCCCGAGGACCAGGAUCAUCCCAUAAUAAUAUAGGGCUGCCCAAGGUAAUUGCACUUCAAAGGAGGCCAUGAAUCAAUAACUUUAUAGGAUUUUUGGGAUUUCAUCAAGGACAAACAUUUCAAAAUAGAAUUUUAAUGAUGUUCAGUAAAGAGGAGGAUAGUGUACCAUUUGGGUUCCCA
rnacentral:lncRNA from 1 species